ACUACAUCUAUGGCGAUAUCGACGCCGUGAAGUGACUCACUACGCUCCCCCAAGCCGCUCAUAUCGACGCCGUGAAGUGACUCACUACGCUCUCGCCUCUCUGGAAACUCUUCGCUGUCACCCCAACCCCCUCCGUUCAAUCCUUCUCUUCUCCCACUCGCUCUGGACCCCACCUUCUGGAAUCUCCUCUCUCGCCUCCUCCAGCUAGUCCCCAAUCCUCGUUGCGGCGACUCUCUCUAGCUCCCUUCACCUGCUCUCUGCGGGCCCCUCGGGGUUCGAGUUGCUGCACGCGGUGGACGGUAUGGGUUUUCACGAGGGAUCCAUUUGGGGAAGACGGAGGGUCUUUGAUGGGGAGGGUUUGGUGGGGUUUAACGGCGUUAAAUGGGCGUCUCCGAGUGAGUUUAUGACUGUUGGGUGUGGAUUUGGACUUCAAUAGUGGGAUCUGAGACGCCCUGGUGAGCCGCUUUCGCAGUUUAAAGGAAACUGGUCUUAAGGAAAAUCUUCUGGUAUGGUACAUUCAGUUGAUAUUCAUCCACCAAGAAAACACACUUGUCUGGCUGGAAGCUCAUCAGGUACAAUAUUUGCCUGGGAUCUACGAUGAGAGCAACAACCGCUUGAUCUUUCUUGUGUUGGGACUGGAGUGGCUGCUGUCCCUUCAAUAUCUGAAAGUGAGGCUUGGGAGGUUCAGUAUGAUUGCUAUACAAAAUCCUCAAGCAUUUCAUCUGCACAAAUAUUAACUGACAUGUUCUGCUCAAGAGGAUGGUCUCCUUGCUGUGGUUGAACAAGGUGAAGAAUCCACCAAGCUUAUGGCCGAGCCUUGUGCAGUUAACAGUUUUGACAUUGACCAGCAAAACCCCUCGCUUUUAAUCUGUUUCACAUUCUUCCUUCUCAGCAAUGUACCUAAGAAUUAGAGAAAUUCCCAGCAUCUUGGUGUGAUGUACUCCAUUUUGGCCUUGGACAAUGAGCGGAGCAAGUCCCUAACAGAUAACAACUAUGAUGUCCUUGAAAUGCAAAGUUGGAGCAAUGUUAUUGAUAACUUCACAUCCAGUUUAUUCAUGAAGGUAGUUUAUAUCGCAAUUGAAUCGCUAACAAGCUGUGGCUGUGGGUAAUUUGAUUAUUCGUUUAACAGCAUGUACUAUUCUAACCAUUUGAUCAUGCUUUAGUGAAUGAGAAACUUUAACAAAAGUUCUUAAAAAUGGCCGCAUUGUUAAUUUGGACUUGCAAAUAAUUGUUGCUCUUGAGCUGA